rnacentral:rRNA from 1 species
UACGAAGGGGGCUAGCGUUGUUCGGAUUUACUGGGCGUAAAGGGCGCGUAGGCGGCCCGUUUAGUCAGGCGUGAAAUGCCCGAGCUCAACUCGGGAAAUGCGCUUGAUACUGGCGGGCUUGAAUCCGGGAGAGGAUGGUGGAACUCCCAGUGUAGAGGUGAAAUUCGUAGAUAUUGGGAAGAACACCCGUGGCGAAGGCGGCCAUCUGGACCGGCAUUGACGCUAAAGCGCGACAGCGUGGGGAGCAAACAGG